rnacentral:rRNA from 1 species
CAUACCUACGGGGGGCAGCAGUGGGGAAUAUUGCACAAUGGGGGAAACCCUGAUGCAGCGACGCCGCGUGAGUGGAGAAGUAUUUCGGUAUGUAAAGCUCUGUCAGCAGGGAAGAAAAUGACGGUACCUGACCAAGAAGCCCCGGCUAACUACGUGCCAGCAGCCGCGGUAAUACGUAGGGGGCAAGCGUUAUCCGGAUUUACUAGGUGUAAAGGGAGCGAAGACGGCAG